GAGGGUACAGCUCAGUGGUAGAGCGUGUGCCUGGCAUGCACAAGGUCCUGGGUUCAAUCCCCAGUGCCUCUG
rnacentral:tRNA from 1 species